UGAACCACGUCAGGUCCGGAAGGAAGCAGCGUUAAGCGCUGUUCGCCGGGUGCCGCGGAUCGGCCUGGUCCGAGCCGAUCGCCUUGCUUGGGCCCAUGAGCGUCUCGGUCGACGGAGGGUGCACGG
rnacentral:SRP_RNA from 1 species